UAAUAUUUACGUAAUUAUUGUGGUUAGUCGGAAAUUAGUCGAAAGUCGUAGAAAUUAUUAUAAGAAAUAAUAAUAUAAUUGUGGUGUUAUUUGAGUAAGUGGGCUUAUCAUUGUGUGCUAUUUAGUAAAAUGAGAGGUGUUAUAUUAGGCCAUUAGAGAUUAGGAUAUUUAGUUAAUUUAAUAAAGAGAAAAUAAAAGAAGGGAUAGAAAAAAAAAGAAACAGUAGUGGAGAGAAGUUAGCAGAAGAGGAAAUUGAGAACUGUGGUACGAACGAGAGGGAAGGAGAAGAAAACUUCUGGAAUCCGAUUCUUAGAGCAACCU
rnacentral:lncRNA from 1 species